GCCGCCGUAGCUCAGGGGUAGAGCAGCUGAUUUGUAAUCAGCCGGUCGGGGGUUCAAUUCCCUUCGGCGGCU
rnacentral:tRNA from 2 species